GGAUGAUGUGGAUUAAUUCGAUGCAACGCGAAAACCUUACCUACCUUGACAUGUCUGGAACUCCGAAGAGAUUUGGGAGUGCUCGCAAGAGAACCGGAACACAGGUGCUGCAUGGCUGUCGUCAGCUCGUGUCGUGAGAUGUUGGGUUAAGUCCCGCAACGAGCGCAACCCUUGUCAUUAGUUGCUACGAAAGGGCACUCUAAUGAGACUGCCGGUGACAAACCGGAGGAAGGUGGGGAUGACGUCAAGUCCUCGUGGCCCUUAUGGGUAGGGCUUCACACGUCAUACAAUGGUCGGGACAGAGGGUCGCCAACCCGCGAGGGGGAGCCAAUCCCAGAAACCCGAUCGUAGUCCGGAUUGUAGUCUGCAACUCGACUACAUGAAGUCGGAAUCGCUAGUAAUCGCGGAUCAGCAUGUCGCGGUGAAUACGUUCCCGGGUCUU
rnacentral:rRNA from 1 species